ensembl:lncRNA
CACAACUAAACAAUAUGUACAAAAAGACAGUUGAGGACUUGAUUUCUUUCAGAAAGUGCACGAAAAAAACAGUCAGGCUGCGUACACAGUCUCAAAGAACUUUGACUGAUGUAAUGUGGAAAAAGCUCAGACAGAAUUAGGUUAAGUGGACAAGAGGCUAAAACACACACACGCACACACACACACACACACACUCUGUACAGUGUUUUAUAAUUCUAUACACCAUAUGUGGAGAAGCACAAAUCAGCUAGUCCUAAAGAAUUACACUGAAUCGAGUAACGUUUAACGUAUCUAAAGUGCUAAAAAACAAACAAACAAACACACAUUCAUACCGUUUUUGUACUUAAAUCCGAUGCGUAGUUUCCAAGUAUCGAUACAAUCGAUUAUGUACCAUUUCAAUCGAUUUGUAAUCAAUAUAUGUCGUCCGGAAUGCCGAUUUUGCGGAGCACAGAUCGGUUCAGUUGGAUCGCAGGAAUAUAAAUCGAUUAAUCGAUUCAGUGAAUGAAUCGUUACACCCCUAUUUUUUCCCCUUUAGGCAAGAAUGGAACCAGUAAAUAAAACCAGCUUUUUCAGCCAUUGAAAACAAGGGUAUGACGCUUAGGAAUGCCACACUAAUAGAACAGCCCUUUUUGUACCAUCAUGAGGGAAAGUAUUGUUGACAAUGUGUGCUAUUACUUGGAAAUCUACUGUACAUUCUUAUCCAAUACGUUGUCUCGUUCCUUCCAGAUAACUUUUGGCCCAUUUAUGCAGACACAAGAGGCCGGCAACACUGUUGUCGUUAUCUCACUGAAAAGUAGCUCGUAUUUGACUUUUAACCAAAGCUGCAAUGAAUGCACACUUUUUAAUAUAGGUAAAAACAUCCCGUCUGAUACUGAUCAACUGACGUCUGGUAUAGA